CCCUCCUACAAAGGUGUGUCCGUAGUUUCCUUUCCUUGAACAUGUAAGAAUUUGAGGCAAAGAGAGGUGGACUUCGAGAAGUUUGGAGCCAACUUGCUCCCCAUGGUCUCAAGAUCUCUCUUUUCAACCCAG
rnacentral:snoRNA from 1 species